rnacentral:rRNA from 1 species
GGGCGCAAGCCUGAUGCAGCAACGCCGCGUGGAGGACGAAGGCCUUCGGGUCGUAAACUCCUUUCUGGGGAACGAGCAAGGACGGUACCUCAGGAAUAAGUCUCGGCUAACUACGUGCCAGCAGCCGCGGUAAAACGUAGGAGGCGAGCGUUAUCCGGAUUUACUGGGCGUAAAGCGCACGCAGGCGGCUCUGUAAGUUGGACGUGAAAGCUCCCGGCUUAACUGGGAGAGGUCGUUCGAUACUGCGGGGCUUGAGGUUGGGAGAGGGGUGCGGAAUUCCCGGUGUAGUGGUGGAAUGCGUAGAUAUCAGGAGGAACACCGGUGGCGAAGGCGCUCAUCUGGCCCAAUACUGACGCUGAGGCGCGAAAGCUAGGGGAGCAAACGGGAUUAGAUACCCCGGUAGUCCUAGCCGUAAACGGUGAUCACUAGGUGUUGGAGGCAUCGACCCCUCCAGUGCCGCAGCUAACGCAUUAAGUGAUCCGCCUGGGGAGUACGGCCGCAAGGUUG